UACGAAGGGUGCAACCGUUGCUCGGAAUCAUUGGGCGUAAAGCGCACGUAGGCGGCUUCGCAAGUCGGAUGUGAAAUACCUAGGCUCAACCAAGGACGUGCAUCCGAAACUGCGAGGCUUGAGUACAGAAGAGGAUCGCGGAAUUCCCGGUGUAGAGGUGAAAUUCGUAGAUAUCGGGAGGAACACCAGUGGCGAAGGCGACUCACUGGACACAUAUUGACGCUGAGGUGCGAAAGCGUGGGGAGCAAACAGG
rnacentral:rRNA from 1 species